CCUACGGGUGGCAGCAGUAGGGAAUAUUGCUCAAUGGGGGAAACCCUGAUGCAGCAACGCCGCGUGGGGGAUGAAGGUUUUCGGAUUGUAAAGCUCUUUUGUCAGAGAAGAUAAUGACGGUAUCUAACGAAUAAGCACCGGCUAACUCCGUGCCAGCAGCCGCGGUAAUACGGAGGGUGCAAGCGUUAUUCGGAAUCACUGGGCGUAAAGAGCGCGUAGGCGGGAGGGCAAGUCAGAAGUGAAAUCCGAUGGCUUAACCCUCGAACUGCAUUUGAAACUGUUAUUCUGGAGUAUGGGAGAGGUAAGUGGAAUUCUUGGUGUAGGGGUAAAAUCCGUAGAGAUUAGGAGGAAUACUCAUUGCGAAGGCGACCUGCUAGAACGUAACUGACGCUGAUGCGCGAAAGCGUGGGGAGCAAACAGGAUUAGAUACCCUUGUAGUC
rnacentral:rRNA from 1 species